rnacentral:misc_RNA from 1 species
GUCUUGUGGUAUCACCCCCAAAAGGAACCCUUGAAUCAUGCAAGGUAUGACCACCACGGGAAGCAGCUGUACCAUUCUUCCUAGUCGAAGGAAGACCAGACACAGACGUUGGGUUCUGAGGAGCUCCCUCGGAGGCGAAAUGGCUGGGUGAUCUAGAUGUGCCUUGAUUUUGAGAUAUCUGUGGAGUUCUUGGCUGAGGUAGAAUUGAAGGGGAGCGUUGAUAAGUCGGUAAAAACGAACCAUAACCACCAAAUUUUGCCCCCAAAUUCUCG